UCUCCCCUCCUCUUCCGUGUAACCCUAGCGCCGCCUCAUGUUUCCCUCUUCUCUCUCUGCCAAAAUGGCAUAAAUAUAGGGUAUAGCAGAUAAGCACAACUUUUGCAUGUCUAUUAUAGUGAAAACAUUUAAUGUUUCACUUGAUUUAACGAAAAAUUUAAUCCAAACACGUCUGUGUGGCUGAGUGUGGUCUUGGAAGCACAAAGGGCUUUAAAAUUUGAUUUUGACCAAGGCUACACUUUUAAAAGGCGUGUGCUGACAUGCACAACAUCUGUAUGCCCUUUGUGAUGAAAUAUUGCAUAUGCACUUGGUUCCACGACUUCUUUUGUCCAAAUAUGGUUGCUGAGAUUUGGAAGCACAGAGGCUCCCAAAUCCAUUCUUUUCUUCGCUGCGCACUUAAAAGCUAAGCCUUAAUUUAAUUCAUUUCAUUUUGUGCUUAGUAUUUAGUAUUCUGCCUAGUUUGAAUAUGUUUGUAGGUUAGUUGUGUUUAUAUGUCUGAUGAUGCUAAGUAUGCCUUUUUUGGUUCUAUAUUUAAUGUGUGCUUUAUUUAAUAACAAACAUAGUAGAGAUUGAUGUAAGUGUUAUUCUGAAGUUCAUUCAAGAAGUACGCUGUUGAUUUACUUAUUGGUCUUGUUUGUUCAUGUGGUCUUGAGGUUCUGUGUUCACCAUAAAGAUGUGGAUGUGAAGUGCUAUUUCAGAAAAUCCCCUUCCCUUUCCCUUGCCUUUUCUUGAAUAUUAUUGCUAGUUUACUGAUCAUGGUCCUAAGUAGAGUCAAUAUAAGAAGUUUAACUUAAUUUAAAAAAAAAUAAAAAAGAAGGAAGAUGAGACAACCUAUGUGUUAGUACAUAUAAUGUGGAUGAUUUGCUGGUAAUGAGUGCUUGUGAUUAUA